UACGUAGGGUGCGAGCGUUGUCCGGAAUUAUUGGGCGUAAAGGGCUCGUAGGCGGACCUGUAAGUUUGACGUGAAAUCUCCACCGCUCACCGGGGAGGGGCCGUUGAAUACUGCAGGUCUGGAGUUCGGCAGAGGACCAUGGAAUUCCAGGUGUAGCGGUGGAAUGCGUAGAUAUCUGGAAGAACACCGGUGGCGAAGGCGGUGGUCUGGGCCUGAACUGACGCUGAGGAGCGAAAGCCAGGGGAGCAAACGGG
rnacentral:rRNA from 1 species